GAUGAACGCUGGCGGCGUGCCUAAUACAUGCAAGUCGAGCGAACAGACGAGGAGCUUGCUCCUCUGACGUUAGCGGCGGACGGGUGAGUAACACGUGGAUAACCUACCUAUAAGACUGGGAUAACUUCGGGAAACCGGAGCUAAUACCGGAUAACAUGUUGAACCGCAUGGUUCAACAGUGAAAGACGGUUUUGCUGUCACUUAUAGAUGGAUCCGCGUCGCAUUAGCUAGUUGGUAAGGUAACGGCUUACCAAGGCAACGAUGCGUAGCCGACCUGAGAGGGUGAUCGGCCACACUGGAACUGAGACACGGUCCAGACUCCUACGGGAGGCAGCAGUAGGGAAUCUUCCGCAAAGGGCGAAAGCCUGACGGAGCAACGCCGCGUGAGUGAAGAAGGUCUUCGGAUCGUAAAACUCUGUUAGUAGGGAAGAACAAAUGUGUAAGUAACUAUGCACGUCUUGACGGUACCUAAUCAGAAAGCCACGGCUAACUACGUG
rnacentral:rRNA from 1 species